GAAAAAACAAUGAGGUCUCUAAUGGCCUCCGCAACAGUCACUCUUGUGUUAGCAAUACUGUCUCUAAGCUUGCCAUCUCAAAUCUCAGCUGAUACCUACUUGUACUCAUCACCUCCUCCUCCCAAGAAGCCCUAUUAUUAUCACUCUCCUCCACCACCUUCACCUCCUCCACCUAAGCCAUACUACUAUCAUUCACCACCACCACCUUCACCUCCUCCACCCAAGCCAUACUACUAUCACUCACCACCACCACCUUCACCUCCUCCACCUAAACCAUACUACUAUCACUCACCACCACCACCUUCACCUCCUCCACCUAAACCAUACUACUAUCACUCACCACCACCACCUUCACCUCCUCCACCUAAACCAUACUACUAUCACUCACCACCACCACCUUCACCUCCUCCACCUAAGUCAUAUUACUAUCACUCACCACCACCACCACCCAAAAAGAAGCCAUACUACUACCAUUCUCCCCCACCACCUUCACCACCUCCUCCUAAGCCAUACUACUAUCACUCUCCCCCACCGCCUUCACCUCCUCCACCUACGCCAUACUACUAUCAUUCUCCCCCACCACCCUCACCACCUCCACCUAAGCCAUACUACUACCAUUCACCACCACCCCCACCGAAGAAGAAGCCUUACUACUACCACUCUCCACCACCACCUUCACCUCCUCCUCCAAAGAAGCCAUACUACUACCACUCCCCACCUCCUCCCAAGAAGCCCUACAAAUAUUCAUCUCCCCCACCUCCAGUGCACCCUUACCCUCAUCCUCACCCCCAUCCCCAUCCACACCCCCACCCUCACCCUCCCUACGUUUACAAAUCUCCUCCCCCACCCCCUAAGAAGCCAUACAAGUACCCAUCCCCACCACCUCCAGUCCACGUUUACCCUCACCCUCACCCGCAUCCACACCCUCACCCUCAACCUCACCCCCAUCCACAACCCCACCCUCCCUACAUUUAUCAGUCUCCUCCACCACCCCCUAAGAAGCCUUACAAGUACCCAUCGCCUCCACCUCCCGUCCACCCAUACCCCCAUCCCCACCCUCUUCCUCAUCCCCACCCUCACCCUCUUCCACAUCCCCACCCUCUUCCCCAUCCUCACCCUCUUCCUCAUCCCCACCCUCUUCCCCAUCCUCACCCCCUCCCUCCUUACACUCCUCAUCCAAUCUAUCACUCUCCAUCACCACCACCACCUUACAAGAAGCCUUACAAGUACAAGUCCCCUCCACCACCUCCACACUACAUCUACGCAUCACCUCCACCUCCUUACCACUCUUAGACAGUGGUCAACUAGCAUAGUUCUAUGGUAACCUUCUUCAUACCUACGUACAUGCUACAUUAUUAUAAUUUCUCAUUAAUGGUUCCGCAUUUUUUUACAUCUAUACUUGUUCCCAAAAAAUGAAUACCAAACCCUCGUGAUCCCUGUCAAGGUUUUUAACUUGAUACGGAAAAUGAUUUUUCUGGUUUGGUUUUAUAGGGACCACGUACCCCUCACUGAAAUUGACAGACACUAUAAUAAUAUGUGCAUGUGUUCUAAUGUUU
rnacentral:lncRNA from 1 species